CCUACGGGUGGCAGCAGUGGGGAAUAUUGGACAAUGGGCGAAAGCCUGAUCCAGCCAUGCCGCGUGUGUGAAGAAGGCCUUCGGGUUGUAAAGCACUUUCAGUGGGGAAGAAAGCCUUGGGGCUAAUACCCUCGAGGAAGGACAUCACCCACAGAAGAAGCACCGGCUAACUCCGUGCGCAGCAGCCGCGGUAAUACGGAGGGUGCGAGCGUUAAUCGGAAUUACUGGGCGUAAAGCGCGCGUAGGCGGUCUGAUAAGCCGGUUGUGAAAGCCCCGGGCUCAACCUGGGAACGGCAUCCGGAACUGUCAGGCUAGAGUGCAGGAGAGGAAGGUAGAAUUCCCGGUGUAGCGGUGAAAUGCGUAGAGAUCGGGAGGAAUACCAGUGGCGAAGGCGGCCUUCUGGACUGACACUGACGCUGAGGUGCGAAAGCGUGGGUAGCAAACAGGAUUAGAUACCCGAGUAGUC
rnacentral:rRNA from 1 species